UGGGGAAUAUUGCACAAUGGGCGCAAGCCUGAUGCAGCCAUGCCGCGGGUAUGAAGAAGGCCUUCGGGUUGUAAAGUACUUUCAGCGGGGAGGAAGGGAGUAAAGUUAAUACCUUUGCUCAUUGACGUUACCCGCAGAAGAAGCACCGGCUAACUCCGUGCCAGCAGCCGCGGUAAUACGGAGGGUGCAAGCGUUAAUCGGAAUUACUGGGCGUAAAGCGCACGCAGGCGGUUUGUUAAGUCAGAUGUGAAAUCCCCGGGCUCAACCUGGGGACUGCAUCUGAUACUGGCAAGCUUGAGUCUCGUAGAGGGGGGUAGAAUUCCAGGUGUAGCGGUGAAAUGCGUAGAGAUCUGGAGGAAUACCGGUGGCGAAGGCGGCCCCCUGGACGAAGACUGACGCUCAGGUGCGAAAGCGUGUGGAGCAAACAGG
rnacentral:rRNA from 1 species